UGGGGAAUCUUCCGCAAUGGGCGCAAGCCUGACGGAGCGACGCCGCGUGGGUGACGAAGUCCUUCGGGAUGUAAAGCCCUUUGAGCAGGGAAGAGCAAGGACGGUACCUGCAGAACAAGCCCCGGCUAACUACGUGCCAGCAGCCGCGGUAAAACGUAGGGGGCGAGCGUUGUCCGGAAUCACUGGGCGUAAAGGGCGAGCAGGCGGCAGCCGAAGUCGAAAGUGAAACCCCGGGGCUCAACCCCGGGC
rnacentral:rRNA from 1 species